GGAUAAGUAUUCUGUGCGCUUAGCCGCCUUGGGAAGCCGUUUUGCGCUUAAGAGGGACACCGACAAAGGCUGGAACCCGAAAUGAAAAAGGCAGCCUUUAGGGCUGCCUUUUUCA
rnacentral:ncRNA from 1 species